rnacentral:rRNA from 1 species
UUGCAGUUAAAAAGCUCGUAGUUGGAUUUCUGUUUUAAAUGUCCGGUCGGUCAGUUUCUGAUGUGUACUUUGGAUAUUUGAAGCAUUUUUUGUGAGGGUCCUUGACUGGCAUUAAGUUGUUGGUUUCGGAAGCUUGCAUCGUUUACUGGGAAAAAAUUAGAGUGUUACAAGCAGGCGUUUGCUUUUGAAUACAUUAGCAUGGAAUAAUAAGAUACGACUAGCGUGGUCUAUUCUGUUGGUUUGCACACGCAAGUAAUGAUUAAUAGGGACAGUUGGGGGUAUUUCAUAUUUGAGCGUCAGAAGGUGNAAAUUUCUUUGGGNAUCACUGAAAGAUGAGCUUAGGCGAAAGCAUUUAUCAUGGAUGUUUUUCAUUUAAUUCAAAGAAACCGAAAGGGGUUAAGGGGGAAAUCGAAAGAAAUGAAAUUAAGAAUACCCAUUCGUUAGUUCCUUAACCCAUAAAACUAUGCCGACUCGGGAUUGGCAGUCGUUAUUAAUGACCUUGUCAGCACCGUAUGAGAAAUCAAAGUCUUUGGGUUCCGGGGGNAGUAUGAUCGCAAGGUUGAAACUUAAAGGAAUUGACGGAAGGGCACCACCAGGAGUGGAGCCUGCGGCUUAAUUUGACUCAACACGGGGAAAAACUUAC